rnacentral:lncRNA from 1 species
GACAAGGAAGAACUGUAAACAGAGAUGUGUGUCAGGCUCUAAGAAGUAAACUCAGACCAAAUACCCCAGGACCACAUGAGCACGUGGAGGUCUUCUUUGUCUCUGUUACAGGUUUGGAAAUCACCUCCAGUUCCAUGGAAUGGUUAACAUCAGGAUUCCAAAGGCCCACUUCAACGACUCCAAACAGGAUAAGGAGCUCUCUCCCGCUAUCUGUGGGGAAGCAUAUCCAUAUCCACGGGUCAGCUUUUCCCAGCAAAUCCACAAAUGGAAAGUCAACGCUCCGGCGAGGAUCACUCCAUGCUUCCAUGGACCUAUGCACUUCCAGCAGUACAAACAGUCCACUUAUAGCUCGUGGGGUCCAGUGCGCCCUGCUCCAGAGGCCCUGUGGUGGCUGGCAGGGGUCUCCUCCGAGGGA